rnacentral:rRNA from 1 species
UACGAAGGUGGCAAGCGUUGUUCGGAUUUACUGGGCGUAAAGGGAGCGUAGGUGGUGGGGUAAGCCCCGCGGGAAAGCUCCAGGCUUAACCUGGAAAGGUCGCGGGGGACUGCUCCGCUCGAGGACGGGAGAGGAGCGCGGAAUUCCCGGUGUAGCGGUGAAAUGCGUAGAUAUCGAGAGGAACACCAGUGGCGAAGGCGGCUCACUGGGCACCACCUGACGCUGAGGCGCGAAAGCGUGGGGAGCGAACCGG